AUGCAGAGGAGGAGGAAGAAGAAGGUGAGGCCAAAGAGGGGGACGGGGACAAAGGGGCAACAAUUGAUGGCAGUGAGAGGGGAGAAGACAAAGGCGCAGCAGCUGAUGGCAGUGAGAGGGAAGAAGACGAUGAUGAAGAAGACGAGGAUGAUUAUGGUGAUGAUAAAGGGGGAUCCAAUGGAGGCAGCGACAGCAGCGAUGACGAUGAUGAUGACAACGCCCCUGGUUCUGGUGGAUUUGCCAAAGUCAAAGAAGAAUGACGAAGCAGAGUCUCAGGACAGCAUUGAUAUGUUCAAGCUCUGCAACUUGAAGCCAGCUUUGCCAACCACCUUUCCCGUGCCAGAUUUCAGCGACAAAGAUAUGUGUGAGAAGAUCAACUUUGCCAUUGACAAGAGCCUGUUCUUAUCAAGUGAUGCUGAAAAGAAUCAAAUUGACAUGGAGGAAGCCAGCUCCCAGACCUAA
rnacentral:rRNA from 1 species